rnacentral:rRNA from 1 species
GAUGAACGCUGGCGGCGUGCCUAAUACAUGCAAGUCGAGCGAACAGACGAGGAGCUUGCUCCUCUGACGUUAGCGGCGGACGGGUGAGUAACACGUGGAUAACCUACCUAUAAGACUGGGAUAACUUCGGGAAACCGGAGCUAAUACCGGAUAACAUGUUGAACCGCAUGGUUCAACAGUGAAAGACGGUCUUGCUGUCACUUAUAGAUGGAUCCGCGCCGCAUUAGCUAGUUGGUAAGGUAACGGCUUACCAAGGCAACGAUGCGUAGCCGACCUGAGAGGGUGAUCGGCCACACUGGAACUGAGACACGGUCCAGACGCCUACGGGAGGCAGCAGUAGGGAAUCUUCCGCAAUGGGCGAAAGCCUGACGGAGCAACGCCGCGUGAGUGAAGAAGGUCUUCGGAUCGUAAAACUCUGUUAUUAGGGAAGAACAAAUGUGUAAGUAACUAUGCACGUCUUGACGGUACCUAAUCAGAAAGCCACGGCUAACUACGUG